rnacentral:pre_miRNA from 1 species
CACAUACUCUCUCCGUUCGGAAUUACUUGUCUCAGAAAUGGAUGUAUCUAGAAUUAAAAUACAUCUAGAUACAUCCAUUUUCACGACAAGUAAUUCUGAACGGAGGAAGUACAUA